rnacentral:lncRNA from 1 species
GACCAAGAUGGCGGCGGUGUCUGGCUUGGUGCGGAGACCCCUUCGGGAGGUCUCCGGGCUGCUGAAGAGGCGCUUUCACUGGACCGCGCCGGCUGCGCUGCAGGUAACAGGCGCGGGUGCUCGUCGGACGAGGGCGGGGAGGGUCCCCCCUUCUCUCGGGAAGGAGGCCGGAGUCGCGCCUGCGCUGUGGCCUUCCGGCGCCGUGGGCCUUGGGUUUGCGGAGCCAGCAUCCUCCGUGGAGCUCCUGCUGCCUCUGUCGCCGCCUGGCAAUUAGCACACCGGCGAGUCACCACCUCACAGCUGGCUGGGCAAUGGGGGAAAACUAAGACUAGGCGUUUCCUCCCUCACUCCAUGUUUUUUUCUUUAAAUUGCAGCAAAAUAGACCUAACUUAAAAUGUACUUUUUAGAAGUGUAUAAUUCAGUGGCAUUAAGUACAUUCACCAUGUUGUACAACCAUUAACCACCAUCCAUUUCCAGAACUUUUUAAUCAUCCCAAGCAGAAACUGUCCAUUACUCGGUAACUCCUCAUUUCCCUUCCCCAAACCCCUGGUAACCCCUGUUGUACUUUUCUGUCUUUAUGAGGUUGCCUAUUCUAGAACUUCUUAUAAGUGGCAUCAUUUGUCCUUUUGUGUCUGGCUUAUCUCAGCGUAAUGUCCUCAAGGUUCAUCCAUGUUGUAGCAUGCGUCAGAGUUUGAUUCUUUCCUAAGGCUGAAUAAUAUAUAUAUGUAUAUUUUUUUGAGAUAGUCUCCCUCUGUCACCCAGGUUGGAGUGCAGUGGCGCGAUCUCAGCUCACUGCAACCUCCACCUCCUGGGCUCAAGGGAUUCUCGCGCCUCACACUCCUGAGUAGCUGUGAUUAGAUGCCGGUGCCACCACACCGGGCUAAUUUUUGUAUUUUUAGUACAGACAGGGUCUCACCAUAUUGCCCAGGCUGGUCUUGAACUCCUGGCCUCAAGUGAUCUGCCUGCCUUGGCCUCCCAAAGUGCUAGGAUUACAGGCAUGAGCCACCUCGCUCAGCCCGACAUUUUCUUUUUUUUUUUUGAGACGGAGUUUUGCUCUUGCUGCCCAGGCUAGAGUGCAGUGGCACUAUCUCAGCUCACUGCAAUCUCUGCCUCCUGGGUUCAAGCAAUUCUGCCUCAGCCUCCCGAGUAGCUGGGAUUACAGGCACCCGCCACCACACCCGGCCAAUUUUUGUAUUUUUAGUAGAGAAUGGGUUUCACCAUGUUGGCCAGGGUGGUCUCGAACUCCUGACCUCAAGUGAUCCACCUGCCUUGGCCUCCCAGAGUGCUGGAAUUACAGGUGUGAGCCACCGUGCCUGGCCUUGUUUUGUCUAUUGUGAGUAAUGCUGCUGUGAACAUUGAUGUGCAAGUAUAUGCUUGAAUCCCUGCUUUCAAUUAUUUGGGGCAUAUACAUAGAAGUGGAAUUGAUGGAUUGUAUGUUAAUUCUCCUCUCCUUCCUUUUUUUAACUAGAUUUUACCAUUCAUUAUAUUAAAAGAGCAACUCCUACAUUCUGGAUGCAAAGUAUUUGGCAGUACUUGGCACCUAGUGAGCACUCAGUACAUUAACACAUGCAAAGACCAACUAUGUGUAAUAGAAAUGUUACUUUUAGAAUUCUUUGAGUUUUUAGAGAGAAGCUUGUUCUAGUGUUUUUAUAUUGUAUGCUGUGGGCAGCCUAGGUAAAUAUAAAGGAAGAAAAUCUUAGUUGAAUCCCAAACAAUUCUGUAUUGACUGUUUUUGCAUACCUGUGACAGGUGACAGUUCGUGAUGCUAUAAAUCAGGGUAUGGAUGAGGAGCUGGAAAGAGAUGAGAAGGUAUUUCUGCUUGGAGAAGAAGUUGCCCAGUAUGAUGGGGCAUACAAGGUUAGUCGAGGGCUGUGGAAGAAAUAUGGAGACAAGAGGAUUAUUGACACUCCCAUAUCAGAGGUAAGCCUUCCAGUGGGAAGCAGACCCUGGAGGGCAUGUCUGUUAGUGUCCAUUAUCCUCAUUUUUAUGGAUUUUCACUUAUGUUUAUAUUUUACUUUAUAGAUGGGCUUUGCUGGAAUUGCUGUAGGUGCAGCUAUGGUAUGUAAUACUCUUUAUGAAACUUAUCCAAAGACAUUUCUUGUUUUCUUUUUUUUUCUUUUGAGACAGAGUCUCACUCUGUUGUCCAGCCUGGAGUGCACUGGCACCAUCUCAGCUUCCAGGUUCAAGCAAUUCUCCUGCCUCAGCCUCCAUAGUGGCUGGGGUUACAGGUCGCGCCACUGUGCCUAGCCAAUUUUUGUGUUUUUAGUAGAGAUGGGGUUUUACCAUGUUGGCCAGGCUGGUCUUGAACUCCUGGCCUCAAGUGAUCCGACCGCCUUGGCCUCCCAAAGUGCUGGGAUUACAGGCGUGAGCCACUGUGCCCAUCCCCAAAGAGAUUUAACAUCACCUUUUAAAAACAUCAUUUGGGAAAAAAAAAAAAUACCAAGUAGGUAGAUGUGGUGGUGCUUGCCUGCAGUCCCAGCUACUCGGGAUGCUGAGGAAGGAUUACUUGAGCCUAGGAGUUAGAGGCUGCAGUGAGCUAUGAUGUGUGCCACUGCACUCCAGCAUGGGUGACAGUGAGACCCUGUCCAUAAAAAAUAAAAAUAAAAAAUAAAAACAUUAUUUGAAUGUUGGAAGACUUGGAGUGAUUUGUUUGCUACUGUUUGUUGCUGUUUCUAGUCUUUUUAACAUCCACGUUUUUGAUUUUACAGGCUGGGUUGCGGCCCAUUUGUGAAUUUAUGACCUUCAAUUUCUCCAUGCAAGCCAUUGACCAGGUUAUAAACUCAGCUGCCAAGACCUACUACAUGUCUGGUGGCCUUCAGCCUGUGCCUAUAGUCUUCAGAGGGCCCAAUGGUGCCUCAGCAGGUGUAGCUGCCCAGCACUCACAGUGCUUUGCUGCCUGGUAUGGGCACUGCCCAGGCUUAAAGGUGGUCAGUCCCUGGAAUUCAGAGGAUGCUAAAGGACUUAUUAAAUCAGCCAUUCGGGAUAACAAUCCAGUGGUGGUGCUAGAGAAUGAAUUGAUGUAUGGGGUUCCUUUUGAAUUUCCUCCGGAAGCUCAGUCAAAAGAUUUUCUGAUUCCUAUUGGAAAAGCCAAAAUAGAAAGGCAAGGUAAGAAAACUAAGAUAUAUAAACAGUAUUUUUAAUCCAGCCCCUCAAUUUUGGUAAAAUUUAAUCUAGAAGUUACUGUCAUUUACUUUGACUGAAAAAUUAUAGGAUGAGCUCAAGAUGCCCCAAUUUCUCAUUCAGUUGUGCUUUUCUAGAUCUCAGUCUGGUAGGUUUGUGUUUCAUUUCUAGGAAGGCUGCCACAUUCCUCAGCUCACUGGAAUGAAGUUGAAUUGAAGACUUUAUGAAUGAACAAGAGCCACAGCUGGCGGCACAGUGGUGUAGCAUCUUCAGUUUCAACCUGAUCUCUGAUCUGUGACCACUCUGUUUUCAGGAACACAUAUAACUGUGGUUUCCCAUUCAAGACCUGUGGGCCACUGCUUAGAAGCUGCAGCAGUGCUAUCUAAAGAAGGAGUUGAAUGUGAGGUGAUAAAUAUGCGUACCAUUAGACCAAUGGACAUGGAAACCAUAGAAGCCAGUGUCAUGAAGACAAAUCAUCUUGUAACUGUGGAAGGAGGCUGGCCACAGUUUGGAGUAGGAGCUGAAAUCUGUGCCAGGAUCAUGGAAGGUAUUUCAAAGAAACUGGUUCUAGAAUACAGUCAAGCUAUAGUAAACAUCAUGUACCUGAAUACGUACAGGAUAAAGAGAUUGAAAGCUAGGAGUGGCCAAACGACUUCAACUUUAAACUUGUAAGUUUGGCAUUUCUCUUCAGGCAGAUAUUUUUAAAAGCAAAUCCAGAAAGCGGUUCCCCAUAAUUAGCAUUCCUUACAUUUUCUCUUCCUGGUCAGCCACACCUCUGUGCCAAGGUGGUAGUGCCCAGCUGGCAUUUGCACUCUCUCAGUUGAGCCUUCCUUCUCCUAGGUCCUGCGUUCAAUUUCCUGGAUGCUCCUGCUGUUCGUGUCACUGGUGCUGAUGUCCCUAUGCCUUAUGCAAAGAUUCUAGAGGACAACUCUAUACCUCAGGUCAAAGACAUCAUAUUUGCAAUAAAGAAAACAUUAAAUAUUUAGUUUGGACUUGAAUAUCAAGUCGUUGAAAUUUAUUUGAAAUACUUGCUGGCACUGCACCUGGAUUUGUACUGCAAGACCUGACUAUUCAUAACGGAAAACGAUUUCUAAAGCAACAGCAGGUAUUUUUGUACAGGGAAGUUUAAAUGUGUUUGUGUAUGGAAAACUCUCCACUCUCCUCCCCUAGAUGCCAUGCUUCCUUUUGUCUGUUACGGUUGCCAUGUUCUUUGAAUAACAAAUUAUAUAACAUUUUAUCCUCUCUCACCACAAGGACAAAGUAUGGAUGUGGCAGAGUCCUCAUGAAAGAUGUAUCCAAACAAGAUAACUUAUAUGUAUAAAAUUAAAGCAUAUAAUAU